AUUCAACUGACAAGUCUCAAUUAGGACGAAACAUGCGUCCAGGAU
rnacentral:hammerhead_ribozyme from 1 species